CCGCCGCCGACAGCAGCUCGGGGGCGGCUGCCGCCUGCGGGGGCGAAGCGCUCGGCUCUCCUUCCCGCCCCGCUGCCCCGAGCGCGACUCGGCUGAGGAGGUGAUGGCUCUGUGCCGGGCAGGACGAUGUCGAAAGUUCGCGGACAGCGCGGGGGAAAGAGAAGAAGGAGCCAAAAAAAAAAAAAAAAAUCUGAGCCAGGCGUUUCGGUAACUUUGCCGUGGGCCGGCCCCGGCCAGAGCCGCAGGCGCUGAAGUUGUGGCCGGCGCUGGUCCCUGCCCCGCCGCGACGGGGCCCCGCGGGAACGGUCGCGCCCCCGCCCCGCCGCUCUGGCGCUGCUCCGAGCACCGGGACAGGAAAGGGGAAGAGCAGGAGAGGGGAGAGCGCCGGCUUUCCAUAAGCGCUUCGGUUUGUUUGUACAGGCGGUCUGGAGCCUGUCGGAAGAACUAGUUGGAGGCCACCGCUCAGCCUUCCGAGGGAACCGCAAGCGUGAGAGCCCUGCCCGCACGGCGAGCGGCUGAUACCGAGAGGAAAUUGAGAUCCCUCGGUAAGAGCCACCCUUCGCCCCUCCGGAACGUUUCGGGAAGGGAUCUCUGGAGAGCGCCCAGCCCGGCCCCCGGUUCGAGAGACGGGCGCCCCUCUUAGUCCUGCGGGUGAAGGAUAACGUCAGGAAUUAGCAGGGUUAGAGAGGGAGUGAUGGAAAUAAAAUCACAUUAAAAUGGCAAUUAUCUCUCAUCA